CUAGCGACUUCAGAGUUUGAUCUGGCUCAGGAUUAACGCUGGCGGCGUGCUUAACACAUGCAAGUCGAACGGAGCAGAUUUAUCUGCUUAGUGGCGGACGGGUGAGUAACGCGUGGGUAACCUGCCUUGUACAAGGGGACAACAGUUGGAAACGGCUGCUAAUACCGCAUAAGCGCACGGAGCUGCAUGGCUCAGGGCGAAAAGAUUUAUCGGUACAAGAUGGACCCGCGUCUGAUUAGCUAGUUGGUGAGGUAACGGCCCACCAAGGCGACGAUCAGUAGCCGAUCUGAGAGGAUGACCGGCCACAUUGGGACUGAGACACGGCCCAA
rnacentral:rRNA from 1 species